rnacentral:tRNA from 1 species
GCUUGGCUCAGUGGAUAGAGUGUCAGCCUGUGGACUGAAGGUUCACAGGUUCAAGUCCUGUCAAGGGCA